GUCUUUUUGGUAAUUAAUAUAAAGUCUAACCUGCCCACUGAAUAAAUUUUAAAGGGCCGCAGUAUUUUGACUGUGCAAAGGUAGCAUAAUCAUUAGUCUUUUAAUUGAAGGCUGGUAUGAAUGGUUGAAUAAGAUACAAGCUGUGUCAUAAAAAUUAAUAAUUGAAUUUAACUUUUUAGUCAAAAGGCUAAAAUUUAUUUAAAAGACGAGAAGACCCUAUAGAGCUUUAUAUAUUUGUUAUUUAAAUUAUUAAGAUUUUUAAAAUUUAAUUUUUAAGAUAUAUUUUGUUGGGGUGACAAUAAAAUUUAUAAAACUUUUAUUUAUGAUUAACAUUAAUUUAUGAUUGUAUGAUCCAGUUUUAUUGAUUAUAAAUUUAAGUUACCUUAGGGAUAACAGCGUAAUUUUUUUUGAGAGUUCUUAUCGACAAAAAAGAUUGCGACCUCGAUGUUGGAUUAAGAGUAAUUUUGGGUGUAGAAGUUCAAAAUUUAAGUCUGUUCGACUUUUAAAUUCUUACAU
rnacentral:rRNA from 1 species